UAGUCCACGCCGUAAACGAUGUCUACUAGCCGUUGGGAAUCUUGUAUUCUUAGUGGCGCAGCUAACGCGAUAAGUAGACCGCCUGGGGAGUACGGCCGCAAGGUUAAAACUCAAAUGAAUUGACGGGGGCCCGCGCAAGCGGUGGAGCAUGUGGUUUAAUUCGAUGCAACGCGAAGAACCUUACCAGGUCUUGACAUACAGAGAAUUCGCUAGAGAUAGCUUAGUGCCUUCGGGAACUCUGAUACAGGUGCUGCAUGGCUGUCGUCAGCUCGUGUCGUGAGAUGUUGGGUUAAGUCCCGCAACGAGCGCAACCCUUGUCUUUAGUUGCCAUCAUUCAGUUGGGCACUCUAAAGAGACUGCCGGUGACAAACCGGAGGAAGGUAAGGAUGACGUCAAGUCAGCAUGCCCCUUACGCCCUGGGCUACACACGUGCUACAAUGGUCGUGACAAAGGGUCGCUAAUCUGCAAAGACAUGCUAAUCUCAUAAACACGGCCU
rnacentral:rRNA from 1 species